GAUCUCCUGAUUGAUGUACGUGUGCCCACCGCCGCCCGAGGUCCGCCCUCAGUCUGCGCGCCAAACGGCCAUGCCCGAGCACCUGCCUACCUCCACGGCUCCACCCACGCCAACGUCCUCGCUGGCCGCAGCCCCUAGGUCUUCCCACGGCCGCCGCCGAAGCACCUGCACGCCCUCGCGGGCCGCCGUCCCCAGGUAGGUCGACGCCCAAGCAGCUGCCGCCACCACCCACGCCGACGCCCCCGCUGGCCGCUGUCCACGCGCACGCCCCCACCUUUGGAAGGAUACAGUGGACAGCGAGAGGAGAGGAGGAAUAGGAUCGCGACCUCGAUGGUGCGCGCAAUGAAGACGUGAUCCCCUACGACUUCAUUAAGGCCUACUCUGUCCAUGUGAAGCGUUCUGGCAAGUGUUGGAAUGGAUAUUGGAUUGGUCAAGCGUCUUUUACGUUAUCCUAAAGGUUCUGAUCCAUACAUAGCUGGUGUAGAGAAGUUCCUUGAAUUUGCAUUUAAAGAUAAAGCUGAAGGCAUCAAGAUUUAUUGCCCAUGUCAGACAUGUGUGCACACUACUAUUCAGACAAGAGAUGAGAUGUAUGGGCAUUUGGUGUGCAAUGGGAUACUUGAGAAUUAUGAUGAAUGGAAUUUUCAUGGUGAUAAUUCAGUGCAACACACAAGUAGUUCAGAACCAAAUUCACAUAUUGAUGAAAGGCAUGUUGAUGUCGACCAACUGAUUCAAGAUGCCCUUGGACAUCUGUAUGAUGGCACACCUAUGACUGAAGGUCAAGAAUCGGCCCAGGGACCCAAUAUUGAAGCACAACAGUUUUAUACACAACUAGAAGAUUCGAAAAGGCCUUUAUGGAUAGGCUGUGAGCUCACUCAACUAACUUUAUUUGUGCUUCUGUUUAAUAUCAAAUCCAUCAACAAAUGGUCUGAUAAAUCUUUUGGUGAUCUACUUGAGGUUCUGCAUAUGGCAAUCCCUAAUGGAAAUGAGCUACCAAAGAACUUUUAUGCAGCUAAGAAAAUAAUCUCUAAAUUUGGACUUGGAUACGAAAAUAUUGAUGCCUGCCCAAACAACUGCCAGUUGUAUUGGAAGGAAAAGAAGAAUGAUGAUUUUUGUGCAAUCUGUAAGGUUUCGAGGUGGAAGGAUAAGGAUCCCACGUCUGUACUAACAAAGAAGGAAAGAAAGAAAGCAACACCCUGCAAAGUUUUACGAUACUUUCCAAUUAAAGAGAGGCUGAAAAGAAUGUUUAUGUGUAGAGAAACAGCUUCUCUUCUAAGAUGGCAUGACGAGGAGCACAUUAAGGAUGGUGCAUUAAGACAUCCUGCUGAUGCACCGGUGUGGAAGAGGUUUGAUGAAAAGUUCCUAGGAUUUGCAUCAGAAUCACGUAAUAUUCGUUUUGGUUUGGCUACUGAUGGAUUUAAUCCAUUUGGGAUGAUGAGCUCUACACAUAGUUGUUGGCCUGUUAUAUUGGUGGUAUAUAACCUUCCUCCAUGGCUUUGCAUGAAAGAUCACAACCUUAUGCUCUCUUUAUUGAUUCCUGGUCCUAAAAGUCCUGGAGAUAGAAUUCAUGUGUUCCUUGAGCCACUCUUGGAUGACCUAAAGGAAUUAUUUCUAACCGGCUUGUACACAUAUGAUGCAUCAAGAGAUGAGAGUUUUACUAUGCGAGGGGCCGUGCUUAUGACCAUAAGUGAUCUUCCUGGUUUAGGAAUGCUUGCUUCUCAUAUGGUUCAUGGGAAAUUCGCAUGCCCUCCUUGUGGUGAAAAUGUAUGGACAAAACAGCUGAAGAAUGGUCGUAAAUCUUGUUUUAUGGGGAAUCGCCAAUAUAUUGAUCUUGAUCAUUCUUAUCGCUUGGAUGCAGACUCAUUUGAUGGAACGAUAGAGCUUCGAACAAAACCUAAAACCUAUUAUGAUCGUCCAAUUUUGGAUGAAAUCAUCACACUUGGUGAUUUCAAGAACUCAAAAACUUACAAGUCAGUUAGUAGUCUAUUCAAAUUGCCAUAUUGGGAUGAUAAUAUUCUUCGAUACAAUCUUGAUGUGAUGCAUAUAGAGAAGAAUGUAUUUGACAAUUGUUAUGGUACAAUAUCCAAUUUGGAUGGAAGGACAAAAGAUAACCUACAAGCUCGUCUAGAUCUUGUCGAGAUGAACAUUAGACCGGACCUCCAUCCACAAGAAAAACCUUCAGGAAAGUUUUACUUGCCACCAGCUUUAUUUGCUAUGUCUAAAAGUGAGAGACGAGCAUUUUGUGAUUUUCUUAGAAAGGUUAAAGUUCCUGAUGGUUAUUGUAGAAACAUAUCAAAAUGUGUUAAUGUUACUGAAGGAAAGAUUGUUGGCCUUAAAACACAUGACUGUCAUGUCCUGAUGCAGCAGCUCAUGCCUAUUGGUUUGAGGGGUCUUCUUCCAGAUGAUAUCACAGCUGUAAUAUUUGAGUUGUCUGCUUAUUUUCGAGGGAUAUGUUCUAAAGUGCUUCAUGUUAACGAGUUGGACCAUAUGGAAAAAUCAAUUGGCAUUACUCUAUGCAAAAUGGAGAUGAUCUUUCCACCAGGGUUUUUCACGGUUAUGGUUCAUUUAGUAGUCCAUCUAGCAACUGAAUGUAAGCUUGGUGGACCAGUUAACUAUAGAUGGAUGUAUUUUAUUGAGAGGUACCUAGGAAAAUUGAAAUCAUAUGUUCGGAACAAAGCAUAUCCAGAAGCUUCAAUAGCAAAUUCAUUCUUGGCAGAUGAGUGUAUGGUGUUUUGUUCUAGGUACAUAGAAGGUUUCGCUACCAAGCAUAAUAAACCAUCACGGAACGAUGAUAGUUUGGACCAUACCCAAUCGAAGAUGGUUGGACAAGAUUCAUCUUUAUUCCCUUCAGUAGGGAAAUCAUUGGGAAAACCAGCCAAUUUUGAAUUAAGUCAUCUAGAGAAAUUGCAAGCGCAUAGAUAUGUGUUGUACAAUUGUGAUGUUGUUAAUCCAUAUCUAAAGGAACAUGCUUCUAAUCUGAAACGAAAGAGACGCGACCGUCGCCUAACUCCUAAAGAUAUUGAGCAGAUACAGAAUAAAGAAUUUCCAGAAUGGUUUAGACAACAUAUCUUGCAUUUAGAAGAAACAAAUGGACCCGACAGCAUUAACGAAGACAUUAGAUGGUUGGCACGAGGUCCAUUGGAGUUUGCAAGAAGACAUAGAGCAUAUAACAUACGUGGGUUCAGAUUUAGGGCCAAAAGGUAUGAUAAGGCGACACAAAAUAGUGGAGUUGUUGUCACUGCAAAGACCUCUAGCUAUUCUUCAGCUGGUGAUAAUAAGCCUAUACUUGGAGAUAUUUUGUAUUAUGGCAGGAUUCUUGAUAUCAUAGAGAUUGAUUAUUAUGGAAGAUUUUCAGUGGUACUGUUUAAAUGUGAAUGGGUUGAUGUCACUCGAGGAAAGGGAGUUAAAAAGGAUAAGUUUGGCUUAUCCCUUGUGAAUUUCUCACAUCAAAUUCACAGAGGUGAUAGAAUUGAGCAUGAACCAUUUGUGUUUGCCAAUCAAGUUGACCAAAUGUUCUACUUGGAAGAUCGGACGAACCCUGGGUGGUCAGUUGUCUUGAAGAUGAAGCCCAGAGAUGUAUAUGACAUGGGAGAAGAUUGGAAUGAUGUACAAUCUGAACCUUUUCAUGUCAGCAAGCUUGGGGACCUGUUUAAGAAUGCACACGACAACCAUUCAUGGACUAGAAGUGAUAUGGAAGGCUAUACGGUAGAUGGAACUGCUAAAGACCAUGACAUUGGUAGUGAUAUAGAAGAUGAGUGCUAAAUAAGAAUACUCCAUCAGUGAAUGCAAAUUGUUGGAAGCAAUUGCAGUAGAGUUAUGUUUUAGUUUUUUCGAUGGAAAUCAACAUGGACACCGGGGAUCAUGUGCCUGUCAAGGUCCUCGACAAGGCAAAGGUUCACAAGAACAAACUAGCUGAACAGCUCAAGGAAUGUAGCUCAAAGAACCUGUUGUUGUGCAGAUCUCCCUAGCAAAUACAAGCCUAGAAAGAAGCAUUGCUUGACCGCUUCGACCAUCGGCGCUGGUGGCAGCCUGGACAAAGCUCCUUGUCGAAGCACCAAGACGACAAGACUCAUCAACAGCGAGAACUAGGAGUAUAGACAGAUGGUGUGGAGAUCUCUUGUACAAAUAUGAGGACAAAUUGUAGGGCAUUGAACUACCGCGUAGCUUAGUGCUGACUGUUAGUUUUGGGGUGCUUCCUUUUCAAUGUUGUGUUUGCUGACUGUUACAGUUGGGCUACCAGUUUGCUAAUUAUUAUUUGUGUCGAUGGUGAUUAAUGUGAACUCUAUGCUGAACACCUUGUACAUAAAUGAGAUGUUGGCCA